rnacentral:rRNA from 1 species
UCGAGCGGCAGCGACUUAACUGAACCUUCGGGGAACGUUAAGGGCGGCGAGCGGCGGACGGGUGAGUAAUGCCUGGGAAAUUGCCCUGAUGUGGGGGAUAACCAUUGGAAACGAUGGCUAAUACCGCAUAAUAGCUUCGGCUCACAGAGGGGGACCUUCGGGCCUCUCGCGUCAGGAUAUGCCCAGGUGGGAUUAGCUAGUUGGUGAGGUAAGGGCUCACCAAGGCAACGAUCCCUAGCUGGUCUGACAGGAUGAUCACCCACACUGGAACUGACACACGGUCCAGACUCCUACGGGAGGCACCCGUGGGGAAUAUUGCACAAUGGGCGCAAGCCUGAUGCACCCAUGCCGCGUGUAUGAAUAAGGCCUUCGGGUUGUAAAGUACUUUCAGCAGUGAGGAAGGGGUGUACGUUAAUAGCGUGCAUCUUUGACGUUAGCUGCAUAAGAAGCACCGGCUAACUCCGUGCCAGCAGCCGCGGUAAUACGGAGGGUGCGAGCGUUAAUCGGAAUUACUGGGCGUAAAGCGCAUGCAGGUGGUUUGUUAGCUCACAUGUGAAAGCCCGGGGCUCAACCUCGGAGUUGCAUUUGACACUGGCGCGCUAGAGUACUGUAGGGGGGGGGUACAAUUUCGGGUGUAGCGGUGAAAUGCGUAGAGAUCUGAUGGAAU